rnacentral:lncRNA from 1 species
GCCCACUGGUGGGGUCCCAGGAAGCAGGAUAAAGUGAGGUGACAGGACAAGCCAAGGCAUGGAGAGGAGCAAAGAAUUGAACCGAGGUUGGUUACACGCCGCUUUCCCGGGAAGCUUCGGUACCUUGCAGGAACCGGAACUCAAGCAGAGUUACACACUG